rnacentral:misc_RNA from 1 species
UGGUUCUGGCAUNGAUGAAGAACGCAGCAAAAUGCGAUAAGUAAUGCGAAUUGCAGAAUUUCCGUGAGUCAUCGAAUUUUUGAACGCACAUUGCGCCCUUUGGUAUUCCGAAGGGCAUGCCUAUUCGAGCGUCAUUUCACAGUCAAGCCUAUGCUUGGAGUUGGCUGAUACCGAGGGAAACCUCCGUCCAGCUGAAAGACAAUGAUGAGACUGAUCGAGUUGAAGUACAAGGAGUCUUUGGACACGUAUGGAAAUGAGAUGAGGCUUGUCGAUACCCCGACAUAUACCAGGUUGACCUCGAAUUAGGUAGGAAUACCCGCUGA